rnacentral:rRNA from 1 species
AAUUAACGCUGGCGGCAUGCCUAACACAUGCAAGUCGCACGAGAAAGCCUCCUUCGGGAGGCGAGUAAAGUGGCGCACGGGUGAGUAACGCGUGGAUAAUCUACCUCGUUCUGGGGGAUAACCCAUCGAAAGGUGGGCUAAUACCGCAUAAUCCGGCUAAUUUUUGGAUAGGUCGGCAAAGGUGGCCUCUUGAUCAAAGCUACCGGGAAGAGAUGAGUCCGCGUCCCAUUAGCUAGUUGGUAGGGUAAUGGCCUACCAAGGCGACGAUGGGUAGCUGGUCUGAGAGGACGAUCAGCCACACUGGAACUGGUACACGGUCCAGACUCCUACGGGUGGCAG